rnacentral:lncRNA from 1 species
UAAGAUGAACAUAUACAUACGAUCAGGGAAAUUUUUUCUUUCUCCCAGUAGCGAUCGGGUAUAGCAUCCGCUGUAGGUGUGCAUCUUCCUCCUUUUCCCGCACUAUACUAAUCAUCUCUCACAAUCUAGUCCCCAGUUCAUGUUUAUCAAGAACUAACAAUCACACCUUUCUAGUGAUAAUCAAACCGCAAGCAACUUGAUAACACUAGGUCAAUCACCGCAUACGCAUGCGGUGGUUGCUUUUUUAUGUUUGUUCGUCGAGCGGAAGAGGCUGCCGUUUUAUUACAUCACACACAGACCAUUGCUACUACAUAAGGUUUGUUUUAUUACAAUCACACACAGACCAUUGCUAACAUAAGGUUUGCCUCCUCGCAACACUAACAUUUGAGCCUGCUCAUCUUCAGUGGAGUUCCUUGAGGAAGUCCGCAUGAUCCACCAGAACCUGCAACCCCAAGAAUAACAUUAGUCACAUACUGAUACUGUGG